rnacentral:rRNA from 1 species
GACGAACGCUGGCGGCGUGCUUAACACAUGCAAGUCGAACGGAAAGGCCCUGCUUUUGUGGGGUGCUCGAGUGGCGAACGGGUGAGUAACACGUGAGUAACCUGCCCUUGACUUUGGGAUAACUUCAGGAAACUGGGGCUAAUACCGGAUAGGAGCUCCUGCUGCAUGGUGGGGGUUGGAAAGUUUCGGCGGUUGGGGAUGGACUCGCGGCUUAUCAGCUUGUUGGUGGGGUAGUGGCUUACCAAGGCUUUGACGGGUAGCCGGCCUGAGAGGGUGACCGGCCACAUUGGGACUGAGAUACGGCCCAGACUCCUACGGGAGGCAGCAGUGGGGAAUAUUGCACAAUGGGCGGAAGCCUGAUGCAGCAACGCCGCGUGCGGGAUGACGGCCUUCGGGUUGUAAACCGCUUUCGCCUGUGACGAAGCGUGAGUGACGGUAAUGGGUAAAGAAGCACCGGCUAACUACGUGCC